CGGUCCGGAGCGCCAGGGGUGGGGAAUAGGUAGUGACGUCACAGGCCGACCUGCGAUCCCGAGAGCCGGCGUUGGAGCCACGAGGCCCAACCUGUCGAGCAACCAGCUGGUGGAAUUGAGUGGAUUGGACUUUGCUGUGAGGUACCGGACCCGGAUCUUCGCCAGGUGGACUGACAGCCUACAGAGGAGAGGCCAUGCUUACUUUGACGUCUCAUUCAGCAGCAUGCAGACCUCCGUACAUCUGGACAUGGAAUUCUUUCUAGAUGCCUCCUACCUACACAAAGGCCUUUUUGGUGGGCGUCUCUUUGGGCCAGCAUGCUGUGGAUCUGCUCGGCCAUGGAGCCAAAAACCAGCUGGAGGUCUGCACCCUGCACCUCCAGAAGCUCCUCCCAUCGUAGGGGCAGCACCGAGCGUGGAUCCUGAGUCACCUGCAGCGAGAAGAUGGAUGCGGCUGAGGCACAUGAGCAAAUCCCUCCCCUGUGGACGCCAAGUAAGAUCCAUCUUCUGACUCCAAGCCAGGAGGGGUGGUGUGGAGCGUCUGGGGGGUGCAGGGAAGACACCCCUUGACCGCUCUGAUUUAUGAGACCAGGACUCGGCAACACGUUGCUACCGGAAUUCCGUCAUGCUGCUCUGCAACAUGCCGUUUCUGGAAUGUGGGCAAUCAUUCGUAGGCUGUAUCUUUUAAAGGAUGCACUUGGCAUCCAUCGGAGAGGACAGUUUGACAGGAAAUGAGGGGGGGGGUUGAUGUAUUGCAGGGACGGAGGUCCUUUAAGGCUCCCGGCAGAGAGAAAAGUAGCUCUUUUUCACGCCGACUCGGGAAUCCUUUUUAAGAACGUCUGGGAUGUAUUAAAGCAGUUCAGGAUUCCGUGUGGACUUGAACGCACCUGCUGAAUGCAGCUGGCCAGCGCAGCCUGGGUCUCCAUGUCCAGGGACUGGAUCUGCUGGAUGAACGUCUCCUUGUGCUCGCACUGCACACACAAAGCAGCCAGUCAGUAUCUUCAGGGGCGUGGACUGGCGUGGCCAGAACCAUUCUUUACAGGAUCAGAUCGGGAUCAGAUCAGGAUCAAUGGGAUCGGUUCCCCCCGAAUCCAAAGAUGUGAGAUGACAUGAGAUGAUUUCUAUUUGUGUGGCGACAUGUCGGAGAAGGCUCAUUUCUCUUCUGAGCUGAGUCCAUGUAGAACCCGCAUAUUUCUUCUUCUUGCAUUGUGGAUGUCUACUUAGAAGAUCCCGAAGAUCCGCUAGUUCUGAAUAGAAUUGGAAUUGGAAUAAAAUAGGAAUGGGAAUUGGAAUGGAAAUAGAAUAGAAAUGUACAUUUCCAUGACUGUGGCCUUUCCUUCCCAAAGGUCAAUGCUAAUGGUCUGCAAGGGGUGGCACGAGGGCCUCUGUUGUACCAGCAGCAGUAAAAUAAGACGCUGCACGGAUGAUCUGAGGUUUAACAUCAGUCUCGGUAACCUGAGUUACAUAGGAAGUGGAUUCAAGCAAACGCUGUAAUAUUUCCGGUGCCAUGGUGAGCCAGCGAGGCCUUCGAGUCUGUCCGGUUCGUCCAGCCGUGACCUCCAAAUACGACACGAUAGCGGCGGUCUCACCUGCACCGCACAUCCUAGCAGGAGCAGCAGCAAGCGCCUCAGCUCUUCCACGGCCGCCUCUGAACACACAAGGACCAUCAGCACGGCCAUCGUCUCCGUUGGCAUCACAUCAUCUUGUACCUGUGAGAGGGUCCUGCCCCAGGAUGGCCACGUUGGGCAGCGGCAUCAGUAUUAACUGCUGAAGGUCCUCCUGCACAAACAAGAACAUGUGAUGGGGGUCUUAGACUGGCAGAUGGAUACUGUUCAUUUACUCAACACGCCACCAGCGUUGGCAGGGGGGCAUCCAGACUCUUGGUCUGGGGGUGCGUGUGGGGACCUGUGUGCCAUUGAGGGAAACGUGAAGAUGUGAAGCAGAAAGAGCCCAAACACCCCCCCAAGGUGACACCCCCAAGGUGACACCCCCAAGGUGACACCCCCAAGGUGACAAGUGGUCUGACAUCCGGUCAGUACGUGAGUUCAAACUGAAGGCUGCAAGGCAGUUUGAGAAACACCAGGCUUGCCGCUGCGUUCCCUCCUGAUGAUCUAAUCUGGCAUCCUGACCUCCACCACGCCCCCCCCCCCCCCCCACGCCCUCCCCUACCUGGUAGAAGGCUCUGAGGUGUCGAUUUAAAAUGGAAAAGUUCUGUAUCCGUUGCAUGUCGUCGUCGCUGUGGCCGUGGUACAGCCUCUCCACCCUUGGGUUGGGGUCUCUGGACACACAAGCACAGACGUGGACGACUAUUCACUGCAGCUUGAUCAACCACAUGGUGCUGAGGUCCAGCGUUAGCUAGCAUUAGCAACUUAGCAUGGAGGAGAAGAGAAAAGAGACAUGACAUUGACUUUGCAAUUCUUAUGAUUACUGUUUUAGAGAAGUCUCACUCUCGCGUUUUGGAUUUGCUGAACGUUUGUUGGCAGGUUUAAGAGCUAAUAUGCUAACAAUAAAGAAAAAUAGUCAUACAAAAAUAUGCUUGCUGACUGUAUUGUUUGAAAUAAUGGCCCAUAGUUCCCAAAUUGAUAUCUCUCAUAUAAAAUAUGAUGUCAUUAUAAGAUAAGAUAAGAUAAGAU